GAUGAACGCUGGCGGCGUGCCUAAUACAUGCAAGUCGAGCGAACAGACGAGGAGCUUGCUCCUCUGACGUUAGCGGCGGACGGAUGAGUAACACGUGGAUAACCUACCUAUAAGACUGGGAUAACUUCGGGAAACCGGAUCUAAUACCGGAUAAUAUAUUGAACCGCAUGGUUCAAUAGUGAAAGACGGUUUUGCUGUCACUUAUAGAUGGAUCCGCGCCGCAUUAGCUAGUUGGUAAGGUAACGGGUUACCAAGGCAACGAUGCGUAGCCGACCUGAGAGGGUGAUCGGCCACACUGGAACUGAGACACGGUCCAGACUACUACGGGAGGCAGCAGUAGGGAAUCUUACGCAAUGGGCGAAAGCCUGACGGAGCAACGCCGCGUGAGAGAUGAAGGUCUUCGGAUCGUAAAACCCUGUUAUUAGGGAAGAACAACUGUGUAAGUAACUAUGCACGUCUUGACGGUACCUAAUCAGAAAGCCACGGCUAACUACGUG
rnacentral:rRNA from 1 species